rnacentral:rRNA from 1 species
AAGGAUGAAGGCCUUCUGGUUGUAACUUCUUUACAGGGAAGAAAACUAUUGUUUCUACGAUAGCCGACGGUACCCUGGGAAUAAGCACCGGCUAACUCCGUGC